CACGUAGGGUGCGAGCGUUGUCCGGAAUUAUUGGGCGUAAAGAGCUCGUAGGCGGUGUGUCGCGUCGGCCGUGAAAACCUGCAGCUUAACUGUGGGCUUGCGGUCGAUACGGGCAUCACUGGAGUUCGGCAGGGGAGACUGGAAUUCCUGGUGUAGCGGUGAAAUGCGCAGAUAUCUGGAGGAACACCGGUGGCGAAGGCGGCAUCCUGGACCAACACUGACACUGAGGAGCGAAAGCCAGGGGAGCAAACGGG
rnacentral:rRNA from 1 species